rnacentral:misc_RNA from 1 species
AACCUAGCACACCUGCGGUGUGUACCUGCGGAGGGAUCAUUACCGAGUGUGGUCCCAUAUAAGGGGCGCCUCCCGUCCUUUGCAGGGCCUUUAGGGGCUUUUUGACUUUGCUUCGGCGGGCUUGCCCCGCCGGAACACCCUCAAGAAAAUCUUUAUGAACCGUUUGUCUGAGUUGCUUGCGAAUAAAAACAAAACUUUCAACAAUGGAUCU